UGGAGGGCUUGGAAAAUCGGCCCUAUGAGGAGAGGCUGAGGGAGCUGGGGCUGUUUAGUCUGGGGAAGAGGAGGCUGAGGGGAGACCUUCUUACUCUCUUCCAGUACCUGAAAGGUGUUUACAGUGAGAGCAGGGUAGGUCUCUUCUCACUGGUGACAGGUGACAAGACAAGGGGAAAUGGCCUCAAGUUGCGCCAAGGCAAGUUUAGGUUGGACAUUAGGAAACACUUCUUUACAGAAAGGGUGGUUAAGCACUGGAAUAGGCUUCUGAGGGCGGUGGUUGAGUCACCAUCCCUGGAUGUGUUUAAGAGCUGUUUGGAUGUGGUGCUCAGAGAUGAUCUAGCGGAGGGUUGUUAGAGUUAGGGUACUAUGGUUAGGCUGCAGUUGGACUUGAUGAUUUUUGAGGUCCUUUCCAACCUGAGUAAUUCUAUGAUUCUAUGAUUCUAUUUCUACACACAUGGACAACAGCCCUGUAUUCCUUCCAGGAUACACAAUCCUGCUUACACUGUCUGUACAUUUUCCUCUUUUUUCUCCAUUUAAGCUGCAGGUCGUUGCACAGCCAUGGCAGUCGCCUGCCUCCCCUGCUCGACUUCUUCUGCUAGGGGAUGGAGAGCCG
ensembl:lncRNA